rnacentral:rRNA from 1 species
AGUGAACGCUGGCGGUAGGCCUAACACAUGCAAGUCGAACGGCAGCACAGUAAGAGCUUGCUCUUACGGGUGGCGAGUGGCGGACGGGUGAGGAAUACAUCGGAAUCUACUUUUUUGUGGGGGAUAACGUAGGGAAACUUACGCUAAUACCGCAUACGACCUACGGGUGAAAGCAGGGGAUCUUCGGACCUUGCGCGAUUGAAUGAGCCGAUGUCGGAUUAGCUAGUUGGCGGGGUAAAGGCCCACCAAGGCGACGAUCCGUAGCUGGUCUGAGAGGAUGAUCAGCCACACUGGAACUGAGACACGGUCCAGGCACCGACGGGAGGCAGCAGUGGGGAAUAUUGGACAAUGGGCGCAAGCCUGAUCCAGCCAUACCGGGUGGGUGAAGAAGGCCUGCGGGUUGUAAAGCCCUUUUGUUGGGAAAGAAAAGCAGCAGGUUAAUACCACGCUGUUCUGACGGUACCCAAAGAAUAAGCACCGGCUAACUUCGU